CCGACUGGCGACUUGGACGGUCAACCGUUGGAAUUCGGCGAUUUACCCCGAAUCUCCACCGCGGCGGUGCGUUUUCGGGGGUUCGGCACUCUCAACGUUGUGACGGACCGCCGCCAUAUUUGUUUACGAAACUAAGCCUAAGCCCAACACCAACUAACAACAUACCAUCCAGCGAUGAGGAAAAAUAUUGGAGGUUAGGACGAGUUAGUCAAAAACAUCGGCCUUUCGGGUAAGCAUCGUCGGUUGAAUUUCCUCGAUUUUUUUAAAGUUUUUUUCUAUUAUAGUAACAUUUUAGGUUUAAAAUAUUCUAUCAGAAUGUCGAGCGCGUUACAGAGCACUAUAUCGUACGUAAUUCAGCUCGGAUUUAUUCUCAGAUUCGUAAUAAACGGGGUCCUGUAGUACGGAGUCAUAACUGUUUUUUUGUGAUCCUUCAGAGAGAAGUGCAACGGAGAAAUGUCAUUGAUGCGGAUUCUUAGCUCUUAUCUUGAACGUCAUAUCUUUAGUGUUAUUAGUGCGCGUUCACCGUUAAAAUGUGUUCGAUUCUUGUGCUCUAAGUUCUCAGUUUUAGUGCGAGAAAAUGCUGUUUUUCCACUCCGAUCCCAACGCGCUCCAGCCGUGGACUGCAGGACUCAUAUGGAAGACUUCAAAUUUACUGCUCAUCAUGUUUUCAAGCACAGCGUUUUGUUAGUGUAGGCUGCAUAAUCGGCAGACUGUAAUUAUUUUCUUAAUCAUCGAUAACUAUUCCAAGUAACAAUCACCAAAUCACUCGUUGAAAACCUGUCUUUUUCCUUAUGAAAAUGCUCACCAUGUUUUCAAGCCCAGCAUUUCGCUAAUGUAAGCUGCAUAGUUGGCGAACUGUAGAAGAUCCAGCAAUCAUGAUAUGUGAAUUCAAAUCUUCAAUGUAAUGUGUUAAACUUGUCUACGUCUAGUGAUGCUCAAUGUUGUUCAUCCAUGAUUAGUUUCUGUCACAUCACCUAGCAAGAGUGUGUCACCAUUGCCCUCGAUUUUGUUGUAAAAUGAAAAUGAAAUUUUAUCAAUUAAAGCCUUCUAAAAUCUUGCUCAUA